UUAUGGCUCAGGAUGAACGCUAGCUACAGGCUUAACACAUGCAAGUCGAGGGGCAGCAGAUCGAAAGCUUGCUUUGAUGCUGGCGACCGGCGCACGGGUGAGUAACGCGUAUCCAACCUUCCCUAUAGUAGAGAAUAGCCCGGCGAAAGUCGGAUUAAUGCUCUAUGUUGUAUUUAGAAGACAUCUGAAGAAUACCAAAGGUUUACCGCUGUAGGAUGGGGAUGCGUCUGAUUAGGUAGUAGGCGGGGUAACGGCCCACCUAGCCGACGAUCAGUAGGGGUUCUGAGAGGAAGGUCCCCCACAUUGGAACUGAGACACGGUCCAAACUCCUACGGGAGGCAGCAGUGAGGAAUAUUGGUCAAUGGACGGAAGUCUGAACCAGCCAAGUAAGCGUGCAGGAUGACGGCCCUAUGGGUUGUAAACUGCUUUUAUAUAGGGAUAAAGUCGGGGACGUGUCCCCGUUUGUAGGUACUAUAUGAAUAAGGACCGGCUAAUUCCGUGCCAGCAGCCGC
rnacentral:rRNA from 1 species